rnacentral:misc_RNA from 1 species
UAUGGGAGCGGGCUUGCUCGCGAUGAGGCCGGCACAUUCAACCUCUUCAUUGGCAAUGGAGCCGCCUUCGCGAGCAAGCCCGCUCCCACA